AUGAGCACCAAACUCUUCUGUGUGGCCUUCAGCCUCCUGUGUGCAGGACACACAGAUGCUGUAAUCACCCAGAUCCCCAGACACAAGGUCACACAGACAGGAAAGAAGGUCACUCUGAGAUGUCACCAGACUGACGACUACGACUAUAUGUACUGGUAUCGGCAAGACCUGGGAUCUGGGCUGAGGCUGAUCUACUACUCACAUGGUGUUGGCAUCACGGAAAAAGGAGACGUCUCUGAUGGGUACAACGUCUCCAGAACGAACACUAAGGACUUCUCCCUCACCCUGGUGUCAGCCACCACUUCCCAGACAUCUGUGUACUUCUGUGCCAACUCUGAGUCCACAGCACUACACAGCUGCCUCCUGUCUGCACAUAAAGGCUGCUCAGGACGAUUGAGGUUUCCUGUGCACAUGAAACCCAGCCCCACCUGCAAAGUCCCUGCUUCUGCGGGCGCCACAGGGUCCCUGCCAGCCAGGGGGUCUUCCUGCGUGGGCAGCGUGACCUUCAUGCCGAGGCCCACCCCACGCUAG